GAAAGCUGAGGAGGAGGAAGAAUGGGGGGAAGAGACGGUUAGGGGUUCCAAGCGAGAGUCUGGCCCCAGGCAGAAGGGUCUGUGUGCAGAACACCCAGAGGGACCAGGGCCUAGGCAGGGGACGUGAUCAACCAGGUUUUCUGGGCCUCCCAUGCCCACCCUUAUAUUUUUUUUUAAUUACCUGCCAUGUGCCAAGACCUUUAUAUUCACGGGAAUCCCACUGCAAUCUGUGAAGGAAGGAUCAGUCCUCCCAUCUGAGGAAACUGGGGUUCAGAGAGGUGAGGGCACUUGCCCAAAGUCGCCCAGCACAAAGUGGCAGGGUUGGUGGCGAGUCCUGUUUGCAUGCCCUGUCCUGGAAUGCGGGUCUGCACAGAGAUCCCAGGCCACAGGCAGGGCCUUCCGGAGCCUCGUCUGCCCCCACGUCCCAGCCCCCUGAAAGGCCCAUGAGCUCCAAGGGGCCAUGUGAGGACACGGUAGGAAGGUGCCACCUGCAGCCAAGGAGAGAGGCCUCAGCGGAAACCACCCCUGGCAUCUUGAUCAUGGACCUCCAGCCUCCAGAACUGCAAGAAAAUGCCUUUCUGCUUUUGAAGCCCCCCGGUCUGGGGUAUUCUGUGAUGGCAGCCAAGCCGACUCAUGCAGGCCCCCUCCCCUGCCAGGAAAAUGAUGAGGGGCUUUGAAGAAAGGCUGAGGCUGCUCCAGGACAAGCACUGGGACCGGCCCCCUGGAGGGAUUGGCCUAAGGGGAGACCCGGAAGGGGCCGGAAGUGAGUCUGCAGCCGUGUGAUGGGGAGGCUGCAUGUGGCUGGGCCCGCCUGCCUGCCUUUGCUGCCCAAGGACACAAUUGGAGAUUGGUGCAACAAGGAGCAGGGGGCUGACAUCAGGCUGGGGGGACCCCUCAAGCCUUGGGGCCAGGGGGGUUCUAGCCCAUUCUCUUUGGACGGUGGGAACAAAGCCCAGUGUCUGUCUCCUUCUGGCGACCUCCCCUGGCCUAGGUCCCCUCAUCUCUAGGAAACUCUCCCCCUUCAAGGCGGCACACCCUCUCCCCUCCAGCUGCCCCUCCCAGAGCUCGGCGACACGGAGGAAGGCCCCCGCUCCCCCGACCCUGCCUGCCUCCUCCCUGUGACCAUCAGGAAGAGGAGAAGCACAGAGAAGCCCCAUCCAAAAGGCACCCCCCAAAAUAAGAAUCGCUCACAUGACAAACAGCACAUGAGACUCCAGCCCACAGCACCCCCGAGCUGCGACGCCCCCCC
rnacentral:lncRNA from 1 species